rnacentral:rRNA from 1 species
AGUGAACGCUAGCGGUAGGCCUAACACAUGCAAGUCGAACGGCAGCACAGUAAGAGCUUGCUCUUACGAGUGGCGAGUGGCGGACGGGUGAGGAAUACAUCGGAAUCUACUUUUUCGUGGGGGAUAACGUAGGGAAACUUACGCUAAUACCGCAUACGACCUACGGGUGAAAGCAGGGGAUCUUCGGACCUUGCGCGAUUGAAUGAGCCGAUGUCGGAUUAGCUAGUUGGCGGGGUAAAGGCCCACCAAGGCGACGAUCCGUAGCUGGUCUGAGAGGAUGAUCAGCCACACUGGAACUGAGACACGGUCCAGACUCCUACGGGAGGCAGCAGUGGGGAAUAUUGGACAAUGGGCGCAAGCCUGAUCCAGCCAUACCGCGUGGGUGAAGAAGGCCUUCGGGUUGUAAAGCCCUUUUGUUGGGAAAGAAAAGCAGCAGGUUAAUACCCCGCUGUUCUGACGGUACCCAAAGAAUAAGCACCGGCUAACUUCGUG